rnacentral:tRNA from 1 species
GCGGACGUGGCGAAAUUGGUAGACGCACUGGUCUUAGAAGCCAGCGCCGAGAGGCAUGUGAGUUCGAGUCUCACCGUCCGCACCA